GUCCCGUUCGGCUUCGUAGUUAGCACUGGGCAGUUGCACCACCUUGUUAUUCUCUCCUGUCUCGAUGCAACUGAAGGAAUUUCGGAGCGUUGAUACCUAUAAAUUCCUGGCCAACCACCGCGCGACGCGUCAGCCUACAGUUAAAUAACAGAUAGCUGCUAGCUUACGCUUCAGUUUGUUCCUCUCGCUAAUUGACGUUAUCCUCUCCCCCUCCCUUUUGUUGGUAAUGGUGGUUGAGGAUAUGAAAGUAGUGUGGAAGGUGGUGAUGGUGGUGGUGAAUGUAGUCAUGCUUAUCUUGAAUAAGCGGGAGUGACUGGGAAAGAACCGAAUAUGACCCAUAGCAGAUUAACACAGCGAGUUGGAGGGGGCAAAAUGUCUAGGCUGCACCAAAAUAGGCCAUCUAAGUCAGCGAAGAGAAUUGAUUUCAAAUUCUCCCAUUUAAAAGCCCUCCAGGUACCCAAGGGGUGGGGCAAGCUGUUCAUUUCUGUUAUCUCUGAAGAAAAUGGUAAAACAAUCGCAAAAUCAAGCAGAGUACAAGUACGCAAUGGAGGCUGCCAAUGGGCGGAUUCUAUUUCAGAAUCCAUAUGGGUUUCAAAAAAUAGUUCUUCCAAGGAGAUAGAAGAUUGUGUCCUCAAGCU